UGCUGUGUGGCUCAGUUGGUAGAGCAUGGCGCUUGCAAUGCCAAGGGGCGUGGGUUUGAUUCCCGCUGGGGCCA
rnacentral:tRNA from 1 species